rnacentral:lncRNA from 1 species
GUUUUAGCACUGGAUUAACAGUUUGUUCAUGGCUGAAUAAUUGUCCCUUUGCACAGGUUAUCGGUGUUCAGCAGGUGACAAGGAAAUUGCAGCUCAGGUGCAGAAGUUAACUCACCGAUCCUGAGAAUCUAUAACUGCACUGGCUGCAAAUGCCUUGUGUUUAUUGAGGGCCUCAGACCUGACCCUGUUACAGUAGCCGAGUUCAGCCCUGAUAGGGUCUCACUGUGUGAACUUGGCUGUCCUGGACCUCUCCAUAUCCACCAGCCUCACCUUGAACUCUCAGAGAAUCACCUGGAUCUUACUCCCAAAUGCUUGGAUUAAAGGUCUUCUACCAUGCUCAGAACAUUUUCUUCUUAACUUACGUUUGCAGCAUAGUAUCUUGACCAAUAUUAAUAACCCACAACUUGAACUAGGAACAAAAGCUUAAUUUUAACUUUCAAAAAUUAAAUGUCUGAGACUAAUUUAAAGGAAAAUAGUCUAUUUUAUUUUACAACAUGUUUCUUAUGAGGAUAUAUCUAAAACUUUAAAGAUUAAAUAACUGAAAUAGAGGGUUGCUUCAGAGAAAGGGAAUAGAAGUAAUCAGAAGACAGAAAAACAGAUUAACUCCUUUCACUGUCUGUCUAUAGAAUAUUUACUACUUGUGAUAUCUACAAAUUAUUUUAAUAAUUUGAAAAAUAACUUUACUUGCAAAUAAUUUGUUAAUUUUGUGGAAUCACUUAUUAUAAAUUCCCUGACAUAUAUGCCAAUUAUAUUACCUAUUCCUUUAAUUUAUGGCAUGUUUUAAGUUGUAUGUAUGUAUGUAUGUGUGUAUGUAUGUAGUUUUAUAUGUUUGUUUUGAAACUGGACAUCACUAUGUACUGCUGGUUGGGCAGGAAUUAACUCUUUAGUCACAAAGCAUCAUGCUCAAAGAGAUCCAACAGAGACUCCUUCUAGAGUCCCUAUAGUGCUAGGAUUAAAUACUUUUGGUGCCAGGCUCAUUCAAUUGUAUAUUUGUGUUUAUCAUAGUUUGUAAAACUGCUUCCCACACAAUCCUUAGGUAUUGACCCAGGUAUAUUAAUAUGAGGAGUGGCAGCCUGUGCUGUCAUAGAGUGAUAAGAGUCUUAUGAAAUAUUCUUAAUGUAAACCAUGCUUUUCUAAAUAAGUAGUAUAAUGGACAUGCAAUGAAGAAUCUAGAAAAUAGAAUUUAGACUACUGGCUAGAUUGAAUGAGCAAAAUCUGGGUAUACAUUGUUGGUCUGUAUAUGUGACAAUUUUGAAUUCACUGAUAUAAAAUUCCCUUAAAUUCACUCACUGCCUUCAGAAAGAAAAGCUCAUGAGAUAAGAAAACAUUUUAUCAUAAACAAGAAAAAAUUAAAGUCUGAAUUUCUUUGUAACUCUCUGAUUUCCCAACCAUUUUUCAUAAGUGUCUUCUUUGAUCCUAGGACAAUGGGUUUUGAUUGUAUUUUUAGAUUACUUUUCCUGGUACAGAAUGUAGUUGGACCAUUGGGGCAUGCCAUUGUUCUUACAGUCUCUGCUUCUAUGUCCUAUAUUAGCCAAGAAUCAAGGCCCACUCGUCUCAUACUCACCAACAUUGCUAUAGGAAAUUUCUUUAUUCUUCUUUUCAAAGGGAUUGUAUAUAUCUGUGGAAUAACACACAUUCUGAGAAUCCAUUGGUUUAAAGUUCUUGUAUAUAUAUACAAAGUAGGUCAGCAUCUAUCACUUUGUACCACUUGUCUCUUGAGUAAUUUUCAGGCAAUGUCUAUCAGUCCAAGAGUGUGUGUUUGGAUGGGUCUCAAAAUCCAAGUUUGGAGGAUCAGUAUUUCUUGCUUUCUAUGUUGGAUAUCUAGCUUUCUGAUAAAUACCUUUGGUCCUAUAUAUAUUGAAUGCUUUCAGCAUGAACAGAAUUCAACUAAGAUGUGGGAUUUUAGGCUCUGCAUUUCUCAAGUGUCAAGAAUAUCUGAAGGCAGAUACAGAGUACUAAUAACUCUCUCAGAUUAUAUAUUAAUAGGACUUAUGGUUUGUGCCAGUUUCUACAUGGUUCUUCUUCUCUAUAGAUACCAGGGGAGGGUGAGGCUUUUUGAAUCAUUCAGUAUCUCCAAAAGACUGUCCUCUAAGGCUAAAGCUACACAAAGCAUCCUGCUUCUAAUAAGCAUCUUCAUUUUGUUUAAUUUUACCAAAUCCAUCCUGAUACUUAAAAAUGAUGCUAAAUUUGUAUCACAGUACUUGAUUUAAAAUGCCACUACAUUUCUGGAAACAUGAUAUUCCACCCUCAGCCCUUUGGUACUUAUACCCCAACAUCAUAAAAUACUAAAUUUUAGUGAAUGAUUUGAAAGAAAGGUUUCAGAUAUCACUACUGCAACAAUUCACAGUGGUCAUCUUCAAAUUUUCCAAGAGUGUUGGUAUAUCUAUAACAUGGAAGAUGAAUACAAGCAUAAUAAUUACAGAAUUAUUUAUGUGAUAUUUAUUGUGUGUUAUGGAGGAUUUUAGUCUCACUUAGGAAGCAAAUGUGCAAACUGUAAAAAUUGUAGUCUUGAUUAGCACCAUUCAUCUAUUUUGUGGUGUAAUAUUUCCUUUAAGCUAUGUAUAGAAGCUUAGAGCCUAUUCUAGGUACAAAUAAAUUUAGGAAAUCAUGAAUUAUUAUUUAUCUGUAGCAACAUCUAUAUACAUACCCCAGGCUGCCCUCAGACUCUCAGAAAUCCUUCCUUCUUUCCAAAAACACAUAUUACAUGGUCUCACAUGGCAUUAAAUGGCCUAAACAAUUAUGCAGGGUUGAUCAUGAUUCUUUUAGUCAGAGGAUAUACUUACAAACACUUGGUCUUCACAGAACUCUACCACGGAAAUAACCUCCCAGCACUUUUUGUUUCCAUUUUUAAAGAAGAAGUUUGAUUUUACAGAUCAUGCAGACCUAUAAAAUGAUAUAUAGCCAAAACUGACAGUGGUCUCAUUAUAUUCUUAUCUUGGUCAUUCAAAGGACUUCAUAUUAGAGUUCUGAGUUUACAAACCUGCACAACUGCAGGCAACUGUAUAUAACAGAUUAUUUCUGUGUGUUAUUGUGAGUACAUAUGCAUUUCUAUAUAUUUGGAUGUUAUUUCAAUGUCUAUUCCAGAGAAGAAAAUACAGAAGUACAUGUUAGCUCAGAGGUUAGACAGCAGGUAAAAAAUUUGUACAAGAUCAAGAAAGACAAAAUACAAGCAUGGCACAGGAAAUGCUGGAAGAAACACACAUCUCUCUAAAUACCUCUUUGUAUUUGUUGACUGUUGUGAAAAAAUUGGUUUGCUUUUAUUCACUACUGUACCAUUUGGUAUAUUGACCACAUUUAAGGGCCAUAUAAAUGUACAAGAGGAUUUAGUCAAAUAAAAAGAACUCAAAGAAUGAGAUAGAUGCAAAGAAAGGGAUAGAGACAGAAACAGAUAGACACAUUGACAUAUACACAGAAACAUAUACACACAGACACACAAAGGGAGGAGAGAGAGAGAGAGAGAGAGAGAGAGAGAGAGAGAGAGAGAGAGAGAGAGAGAGAACAUGUGAUUUUUGAUGAGGUUCUAGGAAAAAUUGGGCAAGAUGCAAGAUGCUGAAUAUGAUUAAAAUCAUUGCCUAAAAAUUUUAUAUUAAUACAACUUGCUUUGAAAUACUGUAGAAAAAACUGAAGUUGAAAAAUAUUCCUGUUAAUCCACAGAUGAUAAUUACCUGAGACAAGAGAUCUCAGAGUAUCCAAGUAUUCAAUAUAAUGCCUAUUUGUACCUUUCACAUCCUCUAAUUUCUGAUCUGGAGACUUACUUUUAGACAUGCUCUAUUCUUUAGACUUGUAGCAUGUUUUGAAUAAUGAUAACAAAUUUACAAUUUUUACUGUGCACAUGAAUAAACAAACAUUGAACAUUCAAAUUAAAUUCUAGAUUGUAUCCUAAACUGAAAUUCCAACAAAAGUCUGUUUCUUACCCUGCUUUGCUAUUCUGUUAAUGUACAUGGGCCUUGUCACCCAAAUAAUAGUCUAAGGUGACGAGGAAAAGAAUACAAGUAUAUAUCAAAUUACAAAUCAUACUGUGAAAAAUUAAUAUAGAUUAUCUCAUUAGUAAUCUUGUAUCCACUACAUGGUGAAAUGAAACUUGGCUACAUAAGAUGAGAUAAAUAUUUUUAAAAGAUUUUAAAAUUUCAUAUCUUAUAAUAAGAUCUCACUGUGGAAUAUUGUCCUAUGUUUUAUAGAGAUUUCUAUAUAGUUGAAACAAGUCUUAAACUUUUAACAGACUUCAAAUAUAUGCUUGAUAAAAGCUAAGAUUACAUAUGUAUACCAACUUGCUAGAUUUCUUUUUUCCUCUCCCUCCUCAUCCUCCUUGCCUCCUCUUCUCAGUGCUCUUUUGUUUGUUUGUUUGUUUUUUUUUUUUUUUGAUUGUUGUUAAAGACAGGGUCUCAUGAAGAAAAGGCUGGCUUUAAUUCUGCCAAAGAUAAGACUGAAACAUUGAUCUUCCUGCUCCUUUUAUUCCAGUUCUUGGAUAACUUCCCUGUAUUCCAUGCACAUUUUACAAACUAUUGAGAAUAAAAGACAGGGCUGAACUUAUGCAAGACAAGCUAUCUUCCAAUAGAGUUAUUAAUGUAGUCCUCUGGAUACUUAUUUUUUAAAAUCAUCUACUUCUACUGGAUAAUCAAAAUGUACAUAUGUGCCCCAUAUUAGUAGUGAACUUCAGUAUUUUUCAUGCAAUAAACCCAACUUUAGAAUUUUCAGAUUAAAAAUAUGGGCCACUACACUGGCUUAUACCAUGCAGAGCCAUUGUAGCUGUGAAGGGAAGUACAUCAAAAGCUUGCUACAUCUCAUUUAUUAAUCUGUUCCACCCCCCAGUCAACCUUGCAAAUAUCAGGGCACUUCUGGGAAAUCGUCUCUUACUUGUGCUUUCUAAAAUCCUUGGACCAUAUUUUGGAUAGCUCUAAGUCUGUUAUUCCAGAAUCAGUGGCCUUCUUUUAAUGGUUUCAGCAAAAGAAAUUUAAAAAUGUGAAAUAUAAAACAGAACUUAAAGAAGGAAUUAAGAAUAAAGUCAGAAAAUGCUUACAGUAACAUCAAAAUUAAAUCAUUGCUAGCUCUCAUAAAAAUAUUUUUAGAAUGGGAAGGAUGCUUCUACAAACUCAGAUCUGAACCCUUAAUAAUUUCUUCUACUCAUUUGGUAGGAAUCAUAAGGUCAACCCUAUAGAUAUCAGUGAAGAAAAGAACUGGUUUUCCAAAAACUCUCUACACAUGUGUAACUAUGGAUAAUAAGGAUGUAUAAGUACUUAAAUAAUAAUGAAAACUAAUUAGGAUCCUAAAGGAGAGGUUCUAAGGAAAUAUAAACGCUGUGUUGAACAUUGAAUUUCUGAGAUGGAAAUUAGAUGCGUAUUAACAAGAGACAAAUAGGCAGGGUACCAAAUGUGAAGAGUUAAUACAGACACAAGAGGUAAAACAUUAACCACUCUGACAUUUAUGGCCUAAAUCAAUCUCAUGACACUCCAAACUUCUUCCAAUUAAUCUUUUUAACUUUUUUUUGGUUGUUUGAGACAGGGUUACUCUGUAUAGCCCUGGCUAUGCUGGAACUCACUUUUGUAGACCAGGCUGGCCUUGAACUCUGAAAUCUGCCUACCUCUGCCUCCCAAGUGCUGGGAUUAAAGGCAUGUGCUACCACCACCUGGCAUCCAAUUAAACUUUUUGUUGAUUUAUAAAAGUUAUAUUUUAAAAGCUUCCCAUGUGGAGGAAGCGUCAUGCAAUAAUGUAUACCAAACAUACAAUGAUGUAUUUUAAUAAAAAUAAAUAGUAGGCAGCAUCAUUUUGCAUAGAAAAUUGCCCAGGUGUCAAAAACCUCAAAUGGCAAGAGAAUCCUUAGAGCAUAAUUAAUGAUGAGAUUUGUGAAGUACUUUGAAAUCUAAUUGUUCUUCCCCUUAAUGACAGGUGACAAUGUACAUGUGUCCACUACAGCCCAACACACUUCUUCCUGAAGCAGAGGCAGGCUUUGUUAUUUGGUGCAAAACAGACUAUUAUUAUAGUUGGGAGUCCUGUGGAAAUGCUCAGAUAAGGGCAUGAGUAUGUCAUAAUUUAUAUAAUGAAGUAAAGUAGCAAAGACUUCAAGUAGGCUUCUCUUCUAGAUGGUCUAUUGAACAAUUUAGGCUACACAAGGGGCAGUGUCCUUGGACUGUGAUGAAUGAGUGAAUCCCAAUGUUAAAGCCAACACUUAAGCAAUGUUACUAAACUGUUAGUAAACCUAACUACCUAUAACGGCCUUGUAAACAAUAAAACCCUCUCAGUAGAGCUCUAGACUUGGUUGUUCAAUAGUUCAAUAAUACUGCGAAAGUCAUAUAAAUUGGAAUAGGUGUUUUCUCUAAAGGUAAGGUAGUAAAUGUUUCAUAUCAGAAUGCUGUAAAUUCCCCAUCUUAGUUUCUAACGUAUGUACAAGGAUACAUAACUGUGCCAACAAACCUUCAUUUGAGAACAUAGCAUGUGGAUUAUUCAUCCUUGUAUAAGUCAUAACAUUUUGCUCAUUUUUAUUUCACCUUUAAAAUAAAAAAAAUAUUUUUGAUGUAUAGUGUCUAGAAAAUGUCUGGGUUAAUUGAUAAUUACAGAUUAUCAAUCAGUUCACUUGUUACUCCAGAGUCAUAUUUGUCAUAAUUUUUGUUUGUUUGAAAAUAAAAUACAGAAAAACUGAUGCAGAACCUGCAGAAAGGAUUUCACUACAAUAAAUGAUACCUACAUAUUAAAUAUAGAAUUCUUUCUUUAUCUAAUACAUAUAUUAUUAUAUAUUUAUAAGUAUAUAUAAGAUAAAAUAUAUAUUUAUAUUUUGUAUGUAUGCAUGUUUUUUUCUGUACAUAUGUUGUGGUUGUCUGAAUAUAUGUAGCCCAGAGAAUGACAUUAUGAGGAACUGUGACCCUCUGAAGUAAAUAUGGCCUUUGAUGGAGGAAAUGUGUCACUGUGGGGUUGGUUUGAGAUCAUAUUAUCAAGCUCUAUCCAGUACAGAAGAGUGUGUCCUCCUGGCUGCCUUCAGAUCAAGAUAUAAAACUUUCAUCCUCUUCUCCAGCACCAUGUCUGCUUGAAUACUGCCAUGGAUUCUGCCAUGAUGAUAGUAGACUGAACCUCUGAAACUGUAAGCCAGACCCAAUUAAAUAUUGUCCCUUAUAAGAGUUCCCUUGGUUAUAGUGUCUCUUCACAGAAAUGAAACCCUAAUUAAGACAUAUGCCAAUGUGCCUGAUGUAUGCCUAUUCCCUUGGCAAUCCAGAAAGAGAUGGUAGAACCUUAUAUUACAUGGAACAUAUACUACAGAUAGCUUUAGGCACUAUUUUGUUGAGUAUAGAAUAUGGACCUGCACAAUAGUAGUAACAACAGUUAGCCUCUCACCAUUAUCUCUAACCAAUAAUAUUUUUGUCUGCUAUCUGAGUACCUUCUUUUGUGUAUAAUUUCAUAGCUUUAGUUUCUGUCAACUUCUCUCUAAUAUAUUUUCCAGCUCAACUUCUUUUAGAUCUCCAAGCAAAUCCUUUGCUCAAAUUUUUCUCAGUACUAUUUUCAGCACUGUUGCUCAUUGCUUUUUCAUACCCACUAUCCUAUGUUAAGGGUUAAGUUGAAGUUUUCUUCAUAUCAAUAUUGUAUCCCUAAUUAGAGUACAUCAAAAUAUAAUGAAGCUGAAUAUGUUCAUAUUAAUAAUUAAAGCAAACUUGGACCCUAAAGGUAGGGUCACAAUUAAGUAUAUGUUAUAUACUUCAAUUCACCGGCAAGAUGAGGUUGGAAAGAGGGAGGAGAUACCUACCUAUAUAUGACAGUUAAAAUAUUGUAGGAGAAGAUACCAUCUUCUUGGGUAUCAGGUAUCUACAACUGCAAUUAUGAUAUAAUAUAUCAGUUUGUAUUUAAUUUUUUAUGUAAACUUUUAAAAAUUAAUCUACUUGGCUUUCCUCCAGAGAUGCCUACCUCCAUUAGGGCCAAAAAUCAAGUGAAUUACAAGAGUGUUGUAAAGAAUUACCAUGUAUUGAGUAUGUAGUCUAGAGGGUACUGCAUAACACUUUACUUGGGUAUAGGUAAUACAAAUAUUUACUUAGUCACACACAGUGAAUUCAGAACAUACCAAAAUAAUGAACAUCUAAAAAAAAUCUUAAUUAGUGAGCCAAUGAGUUUGAUGGGGUUAUGUACAAAUGAAUUCAUUAUAGGUCACCCCUAGGAGUAGAGAAAGUUCAAAGAUAUUUUCUCUGGAUAAAAGCUCAGUUUGGUUAGUACAGAGCAUCAGUUAAACAGGUGUGAAAGAUGCAGUUUAAGUGUGGUAGAGGAAGAACUCAGAGGACAAAACAACUUGAUUUAAAGCAGAUUCUAUAUUAUUAUUCAAAUAACCUUCUCUAGGUUUGACAACUACUCAAAACAUUAGUUUAUUCUUAUAAUAAAAAAUAAUAAAAUUUUGUAUGCUAACUAACAUAAACAUAUAUAUCUGUGUAGAUUACAUAAGGUAUGCAGAUAAAGGGGAGGUCCAAGACCUCUACCAAAACUCAUUAGAUCACACUGUAUCCAAGAUAACAUUAAUUAAAUAAUCAUGCUCACUCUUAUUAUAAAAAUCAAAAAGAAUUUCAUCUCACUAUGUAAUAAGUCAAAACACUUUUUUGAAGAUAGAGAUGGUAACCACCCCUCACUGACUUCCUGCCUUUGUGGACCCACAAGGAGUCACACAUUAUCAAACAGCAGUUAUAACUUUUCAACCUUCUCAUCAAAUCUAGGUUCAAACAAGUGCCCUAUAUUAGCAAAUAUCCAAUGCUGUUCUUCCAUUCACCCCUCUACUUGGGAGUGGCAACUCUGCCAGGCAGACAAAACAGGAGGCCCUAGUGUGCAUUGUACCCUACACUGUCAGAUGUCAGGCUAACAGGAAGCUCAGGAUUGGGAGAACACAGCUUACGAUGGGAGUCCUAUCCCUGGUAAGAAACGAGGCAGGAUGAGACUGAGGAUGCAGAGGUUACUAAACUCCUGGGUGUCCAGUGUGGUGGGGUCAUGGAUGAGCCUGGGGCUAGGGAGAGGGAGAACUCCAGCUUAGUUCAUCAUUGAGUGUCAGGAGUACAGAGGAGCCUUCUGUGAGAGACUUAGGCAGCUGUGUUUGCUGAGGGAUUUCCCCCACAGUGAUUCAUGAUGAGAGAGAAACAGUCCUUGGAUCCAAACAGUUGCUUCUUCAUUGUGGAGAAUAGGAGCAUAGGACUUACUCAGGAUGGAUCAGAGAUUAAAUACCUUUUGCAGGAAGGAAUGAACAGGAAAAGGAUGCUUGUUGGCUAGAACCUCAUUGGCAUGGAGAUCUUCCAAUUAGGGGGGAUUGUCACUUCUUCCAGGACAGAAAGGAAAGGAGACUGGAAGGGAGUAAAUAAAACUCCAAACAUCCUCAUGUCUCAGGGCACAGGGAUUACUGAACCCACAUGACCUUACCAGUUUUUGUCUAGUGACAGGAUUGCACUUGCCCCCAGAAUACAAUGAAAAAUAUAUUUUUGAGAGAAGGAGAAUAUAUUGUUAAGUGUUUUUGUAUUGUUUCAUGGACAGAAUUAGCAUUAAACCUAACAUAAGCUUGACAAAGAAGGUAGAAGUAAGAUUAUUUGCACUUCCAUGAUAUAUAUAUAUAUAUAUAUAUAUAUAUAUCCCUUGAAAUUCCUUUUGUCAUUAGGCAUUCUUGAUGACACACUUGCACGCUUCCAUAUUAAUAUCUAAAAUGUUUCAAAAUUUUAUUGUUGCCACACACAAGAUAAUCAUAAUGUCUGAGUACUGGAUGGAAUAUAAAAUUAUUUUUUUUCUUGCCCAGAAAAAUAUAUGAUGAUACAUCCUAAAUUUAUUCUAUGGCUAUGGGGAUAGGUCACUUGGUAAUGUCCUUGUGUUGAAAAAUGAAGGCCGAAGAAGUGGAGAUGCUUUGUGGUCAUCUUAUUGGGGAGGCUUUAAUGUAAACACCUGCUGCAUAUUGCCUGGUCAUCUAGUAUCUUCAGUAAGUUCCAGACAGUGACAGGAGUCUCUCCUAUAAUUUCAAUUGUUGAA